AUUGGGGAAUCUUCCGCAAUGGGCGAAAGCCUGACGGAGCAAUGCCGCGUGGAGGAGGAAGGCCUGUGGGUCGUAAACUCCUUUUCUCAGAGAAGAAGUUCUGACGGUAUCUGGGGAAUAAGCAUCGGCUAACUCUGUGCCUGCAGCCGCGGUAAUACAGGGGAUGCAAGCGUUAUCCGGAAUUAUUGGGCGUAAAGCGUCCUGAGGUGGCUUACCCAGUCGACUGUGAAAGCUCAAGGCUUAACCUUGAAACGGCAGUCGAAACUUGUAAGCUUGAGUACGGUAGGGGCAGAGGGAAUUCCCGGAGGAGAGGUGAAAUUCGUAGAUAUCGGGAGGAAGGCCAAAGGCGAAAGCACUCUGCUGGGCCGAUUACUGACACUGACAGACGAAUGCUAGGGGAGCGAAAGGGAUUAGAUACCCCUGUAGUCAAU
rnacentral:rRNA from 1 species